AUUGAACGCUGGCGGUAUGCCUUACACAUGCAAGUCGAACGGCAGCGCGGUAUUCGCCUUCGCGGCGAGUGGCGAACGGGCGAGUAAUAGAUCGAUACGUGCCCAUCUGCGGGGGCUUGGUCGGUGACAGCCGGAAUAAUACCGUAAUAGACCAUAGGGCGAAAGCGUGGGAUCAUCGGAUCUUCCGCCAUUGCAGCGGUCGAUGGCCGAUUAGCUAGUUGGUGGGGUAAAGGCCUACCAAGGCGACGAUCCGUAGCUGGUCUGAGAGGAUGACCAGCCACACUGGAACUGAGACACGGCCCAGACUCCUACGGGAGGCAGCAGUGGGGAAUAUUGGACAAUGGGCGAAAGCCUGAUCCAGCAAUGCCGCGUGUGUGAUGAAGGCCUUCGGGUUGUAAAGCACUUUUGGCGGGAACGAAAAGGACUGUGCCAAUACCACGGUUCGAUGACGGUACCCACAGAAUAAGCACCGGCUAACUACGUG
rnacentral:rRNA from 1 species